GGGUUGUGAGGUUAAGCGACUAAGCGUACACGGUGGAUGCCCUGGCAGUCAGAGGCGAUGAAGGACGUGCUAAUCUGCGAUAAGCGUCGGUAAGGUGAUAUGAACCGUUAUAACCGGCGAUUUCCGAAUGGGGAAACCCAGUGUGAUUCGUCACACUAUCAUUAACUGAAUCCAUAGGUUAAUGAGGCGAACCGGGGGAACUGAAACAUCUAAGUACCCGAGGAAAAGAAAUCAACCGAGAUUCCCCCAGUAGCGGCGAGCGAACGGGGAGCAGCCCAGAGCCUGAAUCAGUGUGUGUGUUAGUGGAAGCGUCUGGAAAGGCGCGCGAUACAGGGUGACAGCCCCGUACACAAAAAUGCACAUGCUGUGAGCUCGAUGAGUAGGGCGGGACACGUGGUAUCCUGUCUGAAUAUGGGGGGACCAUCCUCCAAGGCUAAAUACUCCUGACUGACCGAUAGUGAACCAGUACCGUGAGGGAAAGGCGAAAAGAACCCCGGCGAGGGGAGUGAAAAAGAACCUGAAACCGUGUACGUACAAGCAGUGGGAGCACGCUUCGGCGUGUGACUGCGUACCUUUUGUAUAAUGGGUCAGCGACUUAUAUUCUGUAGCAAGGUUAACCGAAUAGGGGAGCCGAAGGGAAACCGAGUCUUAACUGGGCGUUAAGUUGCAGGGUAUAGACCCGAAACCCGGUGAUCUAGCCAUGGGCAGGUUGAAGGUUGGGUAACACUAACUGGAGGACCGAACCGACUAAUGUUGAAAAAUUAGCGGAUGACUUGUGGCUGGGGGUGAAAGGCCAAUCAAACCGGGAGAUAGCUGGUUCUCCCCGAAAGCUAUUUAGGUAGCGCCUCGUGAACUCAUCUCCGGGGGUAGAGCACUGUUUCGGCAAGGGGGUCAUCCCGACUUACCAACCCGAUGCAAACUGCGAAUACCGGAGAAUGUUAUCACGGGAGACACACGGCGGGUGCUAACGUCCGUCGUGAAGAGGGAAACAACCCAGACCGCCAGCUAAGGUCCCAAAGUCAUGGUUAAGUGGGAAACGAUGUGGGAAGGCCCAGACAGCCAGGAUGUUGGCUUAGAAGCAGCCAUCAUUUAAAGAAAGCGUAAUAGCUCACUGGUCGAGUCGGCCUGCGCGGAAGAUGUAACGGGGCUAAACCAUGCACCGAAGCUGCGGCAGCGACGCUUAUGCGUUGUUGGGUAGGGGAGCGUUCUGUAAGCCUGUGAAGGUGUACUGUGAGGUAUGCUGGAGGUAUCAGAAGUGCGAAUGCUGACAUAAGUAACGAUAAAGCGGGUGAAAAGCCCGCUCGCCGGAAGACCAAGGGUUCCUGUCCAACGUUAAUCGGGGCAGGGUGAGUCGACCCCUAAGGCGAGGCCGAAAGGCGUAGUCGAUGGGAAACAGGUUAAUAUUCCUGUACUUGGUGUUACUGCGAAGGGGGGACGGAGAAGGCUAUGUUGGCCGGGCGACGGUUGUCCCGGUUUAAGCGUGUAGGCUGGUUUUCCAGGCAAAUCCGGAAAAUCAAGGCUGAGGCGUGAUGACGAGGCACUACGGUGCUGAAGCAACAAAUGCCCUGCUUCCAGGAAAAGCCUCUAAGCAUCAGGUAACAUCAAAUCGUACCCCAAACCGACACAGGUGGUCAGGUAGAGAAUACCAAGGCGCUUGAGAGAACUCGGGUGAAGGAACUAGGCAAAAUGGUGCCGUAACUUCGGGAGAAGGCACGCUGAUAUGUAGGUGAAGCGACUUGCUCGUGGAGCUGAAAUCAGUCGAAGAUACCAGCUGGCUGCAACUGUUUAUUAAAAACACAGCACUGUGCAAACACGAAAGUGGACGUAUACGGUGUGACGCCUGCCCGGUGCCGGAAGGUUAAUUGAUGGGGUUAGCGCAAGCGAAGCUCUUGAUCGAAGCCCCGGUAAACGGCGGCCGUAACUAUAACGGUCCUAAGGUAGCGAAAUUCCUUGUCGGGUAAGUUCCGACCUGCACGAAUGGCGUAAUGAUGGCCAGGCUGUCUCCACCCGAGACUCAGUGAAAUUGAACUCGCUGUGAAGAUGCAGUGUACCCGCGGCAAGACGGAAAGACCCCGUGAACCUUUACUAUAGCUUGACACUGAACAUUGAGCCUUGAUGUGUAGGAUAGGUGGGAGGCUUUGAAGUGUGGACGCCAGUCUGCAUGGAGCCGACCUUGAAAUACCACCCUUUAAUGUUUGAUGUUCUAACGUUGACCCGUAAUCCGGGUUGCGGACAGUGUCUGGUGGGUAGUUUGACUGGGGCGGUCUCCUCCUAAAGAGUAACGGAGGAGCACGAAGGUUGGCUAAUCCUGGUCGGACAUCAGGAGGUUAGUGCAAUGGCAUAAGCCAGCUUGACUGCGAGCGUGACGGCGCGAGCAGGUGCGAAAGCAGGUCAUAGUGAUCCGGUGGUUCUGAAUGGAAGGGCCAUCGCUCAACGGAUAAAAGGUACUCCGGGGAUAACAGGCUGAUACCGCCCAAGAGUUCAUAUCGACGGCGGUGUUUGGCACCUCGAUGUCGGCUCAUCACAUCCUGGGGCUGAAGUAGGUCCCAAGGGUAUGGCUGUUCGCCAUUUAAAGUGGUACGCGAGCUGGGUUUAGAACGUCGUGAGACAGUUCGGUCCCUAUCUGCCGUGGGCGCUGGAGAACUGAGGGGGGCUGCUCCUAGUACGAGAGGACCGGAGUGGACGCAUCACUGGUGUUCGGGUUGUCAUGCCAAUGGCACUGCCCGGUAGCUAAAUGCGGAAGAGAUAAGUGCUGAAAGCAUCUAAGCACGAAACUUGCCCCGAGAUGAGUUCUCCCUGACUCCUUGAGAGUCCUGAAGGAACGUUGAAGACGACGACGUUGAUAGGCCGGGUGUGUAAGCGCAGCGAUGCGUUGAGCUAACCGGUACUAAUGAACCGUGAGGCUUAACCUUACAACGCCGAAGCUGUU
rnacentral:rRNA from 1 species